GACGUAGGGACCGAGCGUUGUCCGGAUUUAUUGGGCGUAAAGCGCGCGCAGGCGGCCGUGCAAGUCGGAUGUGAAAAUCCGGAGCUCAACUCCGGACCUGCAUUCGAAACUGCACGGCUAGAGGCAGGUAGGGGAGAGGGGAAUUCCCGGUGUAGCGGUGAAAUGCGCGGAUAUCGGGAGGAACACCGGUGGCGAAGGCGGCCCUCUGGUUGGAUACUGACGCUAAAACGCGAAAGCGUGGGGAGCAAACAGG
rnacentral:rRNA from 1 species